AUACAGAGGGUGCGAGCGUUAAUCGGAAUUACUGGGCGUAAAGCGCGCGUAGGCGGCUUAUUAAGUCAGAUGUGAAAUCCCCGGGCUCAACCUGGGAACUGCAUCUGAUACUGGUAAGCUAGAGUUUUGGAGAGGGAAGUAGAAUUUCAGGUGUAGCGGUGAAAUGCAUAGAGAUCUGAAGGAAUACCAGUGGCGAAGGCGACUUCCUGGCCUAAAACUGACGCUGAGGUGCGAAAGCGUGGGUAGCAAACGGGAUUAGAAACCCCAGUAGUCC
rnacentral:rRNA from 1 species